UUCAGUAAGACAAAAGAGGCCUCGCGGGCACCGGUUACAGCGGCUGCUCACCUGUUGCCGUGGUCGCUUAGCAAUAGUCCAACAACUCCGGCGAGGCCCGUCUAGUCUGCCCGUCAAGACCUGAGUCACGGCGAAGAAGAGAAUGCUGUCCGGCCUUCUCUGUAGGUAAUAGUCUAGUAAUGAGGGAGAGAAGCUUCAUAAAAUCCUAUAAUGGGCGAGACUGCGCUGAGCUGUCAGUCAUUGACUUGUCUGAUCCAAUCAAGCGUGACGACCAGCCGCCUGUCAAUCACAAUAUGAGGCCUGCUGGACGCAUCCUUUAGAAUCGUCCCCACACAAGGAAAUCGUUAGCUGGCCUAAUGGGGAUGUGCAGACAGUGGAGGACGUGCCUGGACAGUCAGUCCAGACAGAUGUGCAGCGGUUGGGAAUGUGGAUUCAGUACAUUUCAGUUCAUUCGGUCACUGCUAUACUAUCUGUCCAACUGGCUGUUCACUGAAUUAAAUUGAAUUGCUGCCAGGACAUUCUUUUCUCUCUCUCUCUCUGUCUCUCUCUCGCUCACUCUGAAUAAUGAGGGUCACUGAGGGGUUUGCUCAGACAAAAUCGCGCGAACACGUUCAUGAAAAAAUCCAGAGUUGCAACUUCGACGCCUUCAGUAGUUUUGAAAGCAAGUGUGUGUUCAUAUAUACACCAGGUGGAUUUUUUUUUUUUUUGAAUCCAGUGUGAAUAAUAAUAUAAAUCCUGCUGUGUGC